UCAAGUGUAGUAUCUGUUCUUAUCAGUUUAAUAUCUGAUAGUAUUGAAGAGUGUUAC
ensembl:snRNA U2 U2 spliceosomal RNA